GAUGACGUCAAGUCCUCAUGGCCCUUACGCGCUGGGCUACACACGUGCUACAAUGGCGGUGACAGUGGGCAGCAAUCCCGCAAGGGUGAGCUAAUCUCCAAAAGCCGUCUCAGUUCGGAUUGUUCUCUGCAACUCGAGAGCAUGAAGGCGGAAUCGCUAGUAAUCGCGGAUCAGCACGCCGCGGUGAAUACGUUCCCAGGCCUUGUACACACCGCCCGUCACACCAUGGGAGUUGGAUUCACCCGAAGGCGUUUCGCUAACCCGCAAGGGAGGCAGGCGAC
rnacentral:rRNA from 1 species